UCCGGCCCCGGCCCCUCACCCUCGCAUUGCGGAUGUUCAUAAUGGCGGCGGGGCUUGCGGCUCCCAGCCGGUCGUGAACGCGCAGUCAGCAGCCACCGCACUCUGACGUGCUCUGAAGCGACGCCGGGGCUGCCAGGCCAGGGCUGGGGCUGGGGCUGGAGCGGGAGCGGGGGCUGGGGCUGGAGCUGGAGCUGGGUCCGGAAUCGCGGGGACGGCAGCGGAAGAGGCGGCGCGCCAACAGCUUUUGCGGAAACAGGCUCCACAUAUGAAGUGUGACUAACCUCAGACCACCAAGCUGUGAGAAGUCCAGGCCCCAUGAAGAGGUCAUGAAAUAUGACUCCCCAUGGAUAGAGAGGCCUCUCACUGUUGUGGCCUUUCCCAUUGCGGAGCACAGGCUUCAGACACACAGGCUCAGUGGCCAUGGCUUAUGGACCCAGCCGCUCCGCGGCAUGUGGGAUCUUCCUGGACCGGGGCGCGAACCCGUGUCCCCUGCAUCGGCAGGCGGACUCUCAACCACUACACCACCAGUACACAGGCCUCUCACUGUUGUGACCUCUCCUGUUGCAGAGCACAGGCUCCAGACGCGCAGACUCAGUGGCCAUGGCUCAAGGGCCCAGCCGCUCCACAGCGUGUGGGAUCUUCCCGGACCGGGGCACGAACCCAUGUCCCCUGCAUCAGUAGGCAGACUCUCAACCACUGCACCAACAGGGAAGCCCCACAAACUUUUCUUUUUAAAGCCUAUAGAUCUUUGUGAGAAAUAAUCAAUUGUGAUAUCUAUGUAUCUGUAUCUAUCUAUCUAUCUAUCUAUAUAC